AGAGUUUGAUCAUGGCUCAGAACGAACGUUGGCGGCAUGCUUAACACAUGCAAGUCGAACGGGAUGCUUCGGCAUUCAGUGGCGGACGGGUGAGUAACACGUGGGAACUUGUCCUCGGGUGGGGAACAACCGCUGGAAACGGCGGCUAAUACCGCAUGAACCCUGAGGGGCAAAGGCUUCGGCCGCCUGAGGAGGGGCCCGCGUCCGAUUAGCUUGUUGGUGGGGUAACGGCCUACCAAGGCGUCGAUCGGUAGCUGGUCUGAGAGGACGAUCAGCCACACUGGGACUGAGACACGGCCCAGACUCCUACGGGAGGCAGCAGUGGGGAAUAUUGGACAAUGGGCGAAAGCCUGAUCCAGCAAUGCUGCGUGAGUGAUGAAGGCCUUAGGGUUGUAAAGCUCUUUCGCCUGAGACGAUGAUGACGGUAUCAGGAGAAGAAGCCCCGGCUAAUUCCGUG
rnacentral:rRNA from 1 species